AGAGCGAACGCUGGCGGCAGGCUUAACACAUGCAAGUCGAGCGGGCGUAGCAAUACGUCAGCGGCAGACGGGUGAGUAACGCGUGGGAACAUACCUUUUGGUUCGGAACAACCCAGGGAAACUUGGGCUAAUACCGGAUAAGCCCUUACGGGGAAAGAUUUAUCGCCGAAAGAUUGGCCCGCGUCUGAUUAGCUAGUUGGUGAGGUAACGGCUCACCAAGGCGACGAUCAGUAGCUGGUCUGAGAGGAUGAUCAGCCACAUUGGGACUGAGACACGGCCCAAACUCCUACGGGAGGCAGCAGUGGGAAUAUUGGACAAUGGGCGCAAGCCUGAUCCAGCCAUGCCGCGUGAGUGAUGAAGGCCCUAGGGUUGUAAAGCUCUUUUGUGCGGAAGAUAAUGACGGUACCGCAAGAAUAACGCCCGGCUAACUUCGUGCCAGCAGCCGC
rnacentral:rRNA from 1 species